rnacentral:rRNA from 1 species
UACAGAGGGUGCAAGCGUUGCUCGGAAUUACUGGGCGUAAAGCGCGCGUAGGCGGCUUUGCAAGUCGGAUGUGAAAUCCCCGGGCUUAACCUGGGAACUGCAUUCGGGACUGCAUUGCUAGAGUAUGGGAGAGGGAAGUGGAAUUUCAGGUGUAGCGGUGAAAUGCGUAGAUAUCUGAAGGAACAUCAGUGGCGAAAGCGACUUCCUGGACCAAUACUAACGCUCAUGUGCGAAAGCGUGGGGAGCAAACAGG